AAGGAAAGGCGUGAGCUCUUGCUGUGGGAACGAGGCUGCAAACCCCCCUGAAGGCCAGCCCAUAAUCACAGCUUCUUCACAACAUCGGAUUUUUUUUCUCACGCGCUGUUUAGUGCCAAGGUCUGACUUGGAACCACAUGAGUCACUGACAGAUCCUAUGGUCACAUGGGCAGUGCCCUAUGAACAGCUCUCGGUUGACCAAUAAAGAGAUGCUUGGUUUAUGGAUGGCAUUUUAAAGGCAGAAACACCGCAUCCUGUUUGGAAGAUUGCUGCACUAAGACCAGCAUAUGAAAAGACUGAUUGAAGAAGGUGUCAGCAUCACUGCUCUGCUAUCCUUUAAGAGGCAGGUUUCCCGGUCGUACAUGGUCUUUAGUGAUUUGCAGAAAGAAUUUCAACUCACGUCACUGCCAGUUGGUGCCCUUGUGACUGCAUAAAGGUAAGAUACAGUUGUAGUUUAUCUUCUUGGCAAGUGAGGGGACUUACUUAUUUGUUCUUUAAGGAUCGUGCGAACUUACGUUGAGGAUUACUGCUAGAAACUGGGAACCAAGUAUCUAACGGUGCAACCUUAUUCCAGUGCUGUGAAAAUGGAAAGGGGCAGAUCACACCGAGGCAUGGGAGGAGUUAAACAAAUGGGAAUGUCUCUGAAUUUUGAAAAGGUAACUUAGGACUUCAGGAAUAAUAGCUGAUCGUUUUCAAACUUCAUACUGACUGGAGGAAUAACUGUGCUUUCACACAGGUGAAAUCUCUGAAAUGGGAAGAUGAUUAUGUCUUUAAAUGUAAAAGAUUACCCACGUCUUCAGUGACAGCUUAAGUGAAACACACCAUAUUUGAUAUAAUCUGUAACGCCCAGCUCAGUUAACUGCAGAUGCAUACAUCUCCUGUGAUUCUAACACAUCACAUCAGGCUAACUUUACCUGCAGGGAUCAAGUAUUGCAAGGCCAAUAUAGCAACAACAUGGUGCUCAUCUACUCUGGUGUACUGGGAUGAAAUAGCAUAUUGACCCUGAAUCUAUACUCUGAGUAAAAGCAAUUGUCAUUCUGCCACUGUAACACCUUGUUGCCAGUGGUGAUGUAAUUAAAGCU